UACGUAGGGGGCAAGCGUUGUUCGGAUUCACUGGGCGUAAAGCGCGCGCAGGCGGUCAUCUACGUCUGGGGUGAAAGCCCGGAGCUCAACUCCGGGAUUGCCUUGGAUACGGGAUGACUUGAGGAUCGGAGAGGCAAGGGGAAUUCCACGUGUAGCGGUGAAAUGCGUAGAGAUGUGGAGGAACACCUGUGGCGAAGGCGCCUUGCUGGCCGAUUUCUGACGCUGAGGCGCGAAAGCGUGGGGAGCAAACAGG
rnacentral:rRNA from 1 species